CCAACUGCAGUUCCUUGAAGGGAGGAGCUUCAGCAAUUUUCAAGACAGAGAAAAAGGUUCUUCAAUCAUAGGAGCAGUUUAUAUUCAAGUUUUCUUCAGAAGACUCACAAGAAAUUGAAAGAGAAAAGGAAGGUAUACAUUUGCCAGAAAAUUAGAAUGAGAGAGAUGGGGAAGGAAAAGGAAAUAUGGUCUUACAAAAACUGUGUCCCCAUGGCAAUGUGGCAGCAAAAACGAACCCCAAGACCUCCAGACAUUGUGUCAUUCUUGCAUCAGUGAUCAUAUCCAAUGGGAAAUGGUUUGCCAAUUGGCUGGCCAGAGAUACCUGGUCAAAUUCUGAAAGGAGCAGAAUUAAGGCAUGUAAUUAAUAGUUUUAAAAGAUGGAAAAUAUACAAAUGCUAAAAGAAAAGAGAAAUUCUUCUGUUAGGAGAAGAGCAAAGAAUGUGUUUUAUAAAACAACAUAGAGAAUUAUUGUUGAGAGAUUCUUCAUCUAGUUCUUUCUGUUUGUUAUAUAAUAAUGUAUACUGCCUUAAGAACAGAAAAUCAGAAUAGACAUGGAAUUUACUUAGUGUAAAUUCAGACUCCCUAGUUAGACCACAACGAGCUGGUCUUCUUUGAAGUCUACUCUAUUAGGAAUGACUAUUCUUCUCACUUAAUAGAUGUAAAUGGUAGACAUAAGACAGCACUAUAUGUGACUAUUGGGAUAGAACAUGUUCUUUUGGAUAUCUUCCUGGCUGUAGCUAUAAUUUGUCAGAUGGAAGGAGCUCAGCAUAUAAGAAACAGGAACGUUUAUGACCUAGAUUUAGUAAGUUUGAGUUAGGAAAUGCCGUUAUGCAAAUACCAUUUAGGGCUUUCGGUAAUCUGUGAGACUGUGAUUAUUCAUUUCAAAAACAGAAAGAAGUCAGAAAAUCUGAGUUACUAGUGUUAUAACUCAAAUAAGACAGACAUAGGCACUGCUUUUGCAGAGCUUAAAUUAUGGGGGUGGAUUUAAACAAGCAGAGAAGCUGAUCCAAUAGUGAAAUAAGAGCUACCAUGAGAGAAAUGUCAGGUAUCAUAGGAGAUAGUGUUAACCUGAAUAUACAAUGAGUUAUUCAAGAUGAAAGAAUAGAUAACAUUUGGAAAGGGGUGAGGACAAUGUGUGAG
rnacentral:lncRNA from 1 species